rnacentral:hammerhead_ribozyme from 1 species
AUCCAGUUGACAAGUCCCAGAUAAGACGAAACGCGCGUCCAGUAU